rnacentral:rRNA from 1 species
UACGAAGGGGGCGAGCGUUGUUCGGAAUUACUGGGCGUAAAGCGCACGUAGGCGGCUUUUUAAGUCAGGGGUGAAAUCCCGGGGCUCAACCCCGGAACUGCCCUUGAAACUGGAGAGCUAGAAUCUUGGAGAGGCGAGUGGAAUUCCGAGUGUAGAGGUGAAAUUCGUAGAUAUUCGGAAGAACACCAGUGGCGAAGGCGACUCGCUGGACAAGUAUUGACGCUGAGGUGCGAAAGCGUGGGGAUCAAACAGG